UCGGCUCGGCUCGGCUCGGCUCGGCUCGGCUCGGCUCGGAGCUGCGGGCCCCGCAGUGGUUACCGGGCUGUGCGGUACCUGCGGCCGGCCGCGACGAAGGCAGCGAGGCGGCCCGGGCGGGCCAGCCCUGGGAGCCGCGGGUAGCACCCGCCUGCCCCGCUCGCGGGAUUGCUGAAUGAAGCGUUGCGCGAUAUCGUGCCUUUUUUUCCGUCAGAGGGCUGUGAGCUGUGGCACUUCUACUUGCAAACAAGGAGGUUUGAAAGAUACUACAGAGGUGGAAACCAGAGCAUCUUUCAUAUGGUACUAAUACAGUUUUCAACUGAAUAAAAGGACAAGGAUCUCAUCAAGAAAGAGCAGCCUGUGUUUCCUGGCACACAUAGGACAAAGGUGUGGAAUUACUCCACUUGGAAAAAUAUUACAUCUCUACCUCUGAUGCCUGCAAAUUUAGCAUAAUUGUAAAUCCUAAUAUGUGUACAUCAUCAAUGUGACUGCAAUACUAACCAAAGAAAAGGAAAUUGCAAUUGUAUGGAUGCUUCUUAAUCUUGGGACACACUUCUGAUCCAGAGUAAUCUUUCUAUACUAUGCCUUGCUUUGUCUGGGAUAGAAGCAAGCCCGAUAAACUAGUUUCAGACACUCCAGAGGAGUAAGAUGGUAAUGCAAAGUCUUCCAUCUCAAACCAAUGGGCCUAAUUUUCUUCUUUUUUCUCAUUUUAUUCAGUCUUACAGUAUAGUUCCACUGGCACAGAAGCGAAGCAAUGAAGUUGACUCCAACCCAAUGCAUCUGUACAUAUAAGAACAGGCUUGAUGAGGCAGAACACCUUCUGUUCCUGCCAGCUUGUUUUGAUAGGCAAUAAAGGAACAUGGAUCUGUCUCUAGUUAUCUGUAGAUCCUCUAGAGAUGUGUGCAACAUAACUCAUUUUUCUUACAUGCAGCAUCCCAUUAAGAGUAAGACAAGCAUGACUUGCCUCCUUUGAAUUCUGCUUGUAUAGUCCUCCUCUGCUUUGUGCAACAGACUUUUUGAAGGUACAAUAAAUAAGUAAAGAAAUAUAUAGAAACUCUAUAGAUUCUUUUCAAUGAAAAUUCAGACAAUGUCCAAAAAUGGAGAUCACAAAAGGAGAUUUUUAUGUGAAGAAAAUGUGAUGUGGCUUUUUGAUUAUUAUUUUUUAAGGAGUGGUAAUUACUAAGUUUGCUAUUCUGAUAAACUAAGGUGACAAGAGUGAUUUAGUUUAUUUAAAAGACAAAACCAUGAAGCUGUUGAAAUACAUGCUUUCGUUUACAUUUAUCUUAUUUGUGCUGGUCUAAAAUGUCAAACUAAAGAACCCUGUGAGAAAAGCUAAACCACAUCACAUAAGCUACCACAGUUGGAAGAGGUUGGACAAGUAAUCAUUAUUAACUGCUCCACAGCAGCCUUGCAGGAGUCAGGCAGAACAAGUGUGAGGCUGCACCGAGCUGACCGAGGUGAAGAUCAAUGACACCAGCAGUUAUCAGAAAAGUGUCUGUCUGGGCUGGCUGUGCUAGUCAAAGAUUAGCUUGUCCAAGGUUAGUUAUGAAACUGUUGACAUUUUCAAAUAUCUGAGGUGUUUUGGACAAAAGCAAAAUAGCAGUUAGAUCUCUGAACUGCAGAGAUUUUUCCUCAAUACUUUUUUUUCUGGACUUCUCUGCUUUUUUGACUAUGCAUUUUACACUAUGGCCAUCACAGUAAUACCUUCAAACAUGUAAAGAACACUGUGAUUAAUCAAAUUCUUGUACCUACUUUUAGGCAUAUCACAAUGAGUGUACAUGUUUCAGCUUGGAUGUAUUAUUUGCACUCACCUGUGCAAGUACAAGAUCAGCUUGUUUGAGGAGCAAUGCGUUUCCAUUAUGAAGAGUGAAUCCUAGGGAUGCUGCUAUGAAGAGGAUGAACGUUUAACCUUUCACAAGGCAGCUGGGCUUUUCUAGGAUAACCACAUUAACUCCAAGAGCUCAGACUUACAUUUUUCAAGGAGCCUUUUUCUGCCAUUGAAAUCCUUGCCAUUGUUCAAUGUGUCUGCACAGUUCAUGAAGUAAUUAAUAUCUCUUGUUUCUUUUACUAUAGGGAAAAGAAUAUUAGUGGUUUACAGAUGGAUUCUAUUUCACCAGCUAAUCAUCAAGAGCUCUCCUCUCUUUAAAAAGUCAUUGUGUCAUUUAACAUCACCUGUGCUAUGUUUUAUUUUUAUCUUCCUAUGUACAACUGGUAUUUAGCUAGCAGUCUUCUGAGCAAAGAAUUACCUGCUUCAUGUUACACUCUAUCUCCUUGAUCUUUUAAGAUUGUUUUACAUGUUCCUCUGUAUUUGUGGGUUAUGAAGAGAUAUUCUACAUUUUUUUAGUAAAUUCAGAUCCUUGCAAGGUGUAUAAAACAGAAGUACUUGUUUACCCUCAAAUUAUUUUGUCAUUGCUUCCUGCAGAGUACUGCUGAAGUUUUACUGGAAACUCAUAAGACUUUCAAGAGUCACUUUUACAGACUCGAGGAGUGCUUUCAGAGCAGGUACCCUAGUUUUCUUUCACCCCUCUGAUUGUUUAGCUCUGUGUUCUAUAAUGCAUUUUUAAGAACCCUUACCAAUUCAGUUUUCUUCAGCUCCGGUCUAAAUGCUCCCUCCUCCUCUUCUAUCCAGCUUGGAAGGCCUGCAAUAGCUCAGUGUGUCUACAUGAUCACAUCCCAGAAUUUCCUUUCUAUUUGAAGUAGAGUGGUAUUACAAGCCUACAGAAGUAUUUUGGGGAAACCACAGGAACUAUCAAAUGACAUUAUGCCUUGCUUGGGAGGAAACAUCACAACUGCUGAGGGAGUGCAGUAUAACUAGUACCAGAGGAAUGCCAGCCUGUCUCUCAGGAAGCUCCAUGUCGUAUCUCAUGGGACAAGAAGCAGCAGCUACAGCCAACAGGGGUGUAGCAAUGCCCAGGAGGAGAAUGUGGCCAUUCACAAAGCAUCUUUUAGCAAAACAGAGAUCGUUAUCCAAGCCCCAGUGAAGCAUCUCUGGCCAGCAUAUUUAAAUAGUGUAAAGAGCUUCCCUCCAAGAGCAAUUAAAGAAAGGAUGUCAGGGAUUCAGACUAGCUGCUUUGCUUUUGGCCUCUGCCACACAGAAGGUAUUGCAAAAUGGAGAAGCAUAGAGUCUUGAAAAAAGAUCUCAUUGUGAAGAGAACUAAAUCUUAGUGAGAGGAGCAUGGAGUGCCAGGUUUUGUCCCUGUGCUGUCUGAGAGGAUGAGCUGCCAGGUCCACAGCAGCAGUACAGGGCAGAGGAAAGAAAAGAACGCUUCCUUCCUGCUAGUUUCCACCUGAUAUCAAAUGUGUGCUAUAGCCUUUUCCUGGAUGAAAUGGUGCGCUCCGAGCACAACCCAAUUUACAUGAUGCAGAAGCAGCAUCACAGUAACAUAUGCUUCCAGCGAUGUCUUUCCCAGCUGUUGCCACAGCCCAGUGUCUGUUGCUGAAAGCAACUUCUGCUCUGCGGUUCGCUUUCUCUGUGCUGUUAGCUUGAGGCCAACGACCAUCCUCAGAGGAGAAGACAGGGCAAUGCCUAACAACCUUGUAUUCGCUGGGACAAGAGGCUAAGUGUCUGCUGACAACACCCCUAGUUAUCUGCGUGUUUGAGGGGCCGUGGAUUAUAUCAAGUCUCCAAGCCUCUCUGGAAGUCACACGGCUGGCUUGUGCUGCAUGGGUAGUUCCACCUCUCAUGUCAGCAUUGGCCCUGUCUCACUCCUGCUAACACCUACAUAACCUCUAGGGAAAAAUAGUGUAUCAGACUAUAAAGACUACUGUUUCUGAACUGUUUGUAUUUGAAAAACACAUGAACAAGUUCAUAAAAUAUUUUCAGAAAAUGUGUGUGUGUACAUAAUGUAUAUCUUACAUACACAACAUGCAUAUGCUAUAUAUGUGUGCGUAUUCAUAUAAAACACAUGUACACAUACGUGGUGUAAGAUACAAAUAUAUACUUGCCUAAAUAUGAAAAACAAGUCUUCCUUCUACUGAUACAGUAUAAUGAUUACUGCAAAGACAACGGUAUAAAGUUAGGGAAAAUGAAGAUAAGAUGCAAAGAAAGGAAGGUUUAUUGGCUCAGCUGGAAUCCCAGUUCUUCCAGAAAAUGACUCUCGAUGCUCCAAGGUCAAGAACGUUUGUGGAGCUGUUAAGAAUAUCUUCAUUAUCGAAAUCUCCACAAGAGGGCAGUGCAUCCCAUAAUUUUUCUACUUGAACGCUCGCUGACUUUCAAAUAACUGUAGAGAGCUGCAACUUUUAAGGACUAAAGACCACUCACCACAAGCACUCGAAGUACUGAUUUUAAGUAUAAGGAUUACUUAGUGUAACAGGAUAUGCAUGCAUGUGUGUACAUAUGGGGCAAUCAGAGCCAAUAUUAAUGUCAAUAGGCCUAGCAAUAUUUGGAAAGAGUUGCAUAGAGAUUAGAGCUAUAAAGAGACUUCAUAAGCACGUUAAUAGGUGAUAGCAUAUGUUUGUAACAGAGCUUGAGGCCCAUCCAGUAAGUCUGCAUGGUUGUAAGAACAGGAAUAAUUCCACUCUGUGACCUAAAAAGCUUUUGCUGAAUACGAAAUAAAAACUGAAAUACUGUCAGAUUAAAGGUUUUAUUUUUGCCUUCUAUCUUCUCAAUCUGAUCAGAUUUAUCAAUUGAAGAAAAUCUAUCAGUUGUAUUUUAUCUUAUUUUUGUACUCCUUU